rnacentral:rRNA from 1 species
CAUAUCAAUAAGCGGAGGAAAAGAAACUAACAAGGAUUCCCCUAGUAACGGCGAGUGAAGCGGGAUGAGCUCAAAUUUAAAAUCUGGCGGCCUCAGGUCGUCCGAGUUGUAGUCUAGAGAAUCGUUUUCCGCGUUGGCCUGUGUACAAGUCCCUUGGAACAGGGCGUCAUAGAGGGUGAGAAUCCCGUCCUUGACACAGAUUACCAAUGCUUUGUGAUGCGAUCUCGAAGAGUCGAGUUGUUUGGGAAUGCAGCUCAAAAUGGGUGGUAAAUUCCAUCUAAAGCUAAAUAUUGGCGAGAGACCGAUAGCGAACAAGUACCGUGAGGGAAAGAUGAAAAGCACUUUGGAAAGAGAGUUAAACAGUACGUGAAAUUGUUAAAAGGGAAACGAUUGAAGUCAGUCAUGCUUUCCGAGACUCAGCCGAUUCUGUCGGUGUACUUCUCGGUUGGCAGGCCAGCAUCAGUUUCGAUCUGUGGAAAAGGUUGGAGGGA